rnacentral:rRNA from 1 species
AUGAACGCUGACAGAAUGCUUAACACCUGCAAGUCAACUUGAACUUCGGUUUGGGUGGCGGACGGGUGAGUAACGCGUAAAGAACUUGCCUCACAGAUAGGGACAACAUUUGGAAACGAAUGCUAAUACCUGAUAUUAUGAUUAUAUGGCAUCGUAUAAUUAUGAAAGCUAUAUGCGCUGUGAGAGAGCUUUGCGUCCCAUUAGCUAGUUGGAGAGGUAACGGCUCACCAAGGCGAUGAUGGGUAGCCGGCCUGAGAGGGUGAUCGGCCACAAGGGGACUGAGACACGGCCCUUACUCCUACGGGAGGCAGCAGUGGGGAAUAUUGGACAAUGGACCAAGAGUCUGAUCCAGCAAUUCUGUGUGCACGAUGAAGUUUUUCGGAAUGUAAAGUGCUUUCAGUUGGGAAGAAAAAAAUGACGGUACCAACAGAAGAAGUGACGGCUAAAUACGU